AUUGAACGCUGGCGGCAGGCCUAACACAUGCAAGUCGGGCGAGCUGCGGCCGGUUGAGUAAUGUAUGGGGAUCUGCCUGAUUGCGGGGGAUACCUACUGGAAACGGUAGCUAAUACCGCAUACCAUCAGAUGAACCCAUAUUGGAUUAGCUUGUAGGUGAGGGAACGGCUCACCUAGGCGACGAUCCCUAGCUGGUCUGAUAGGAUGAUCAGCCACACUGGGACUGAGACACGGCCCAGACUCAUACGGGAGGCAGCAGUGGUGAAGAUUGCACAAUGGGUGCAAGCCUGAUGCAGCCAUGCAGCGUGUAUGAAGAAGGCCUUCGGGUUGUAAAGUACUUUCAGUCGGGAGUCGGUACCGAAAGAAGAAGCAAAGGCUAACUCCGUGCCAGCCGCCGCGGUAAUAC
rnacentral:rRNA from 1 species